rnacentral:tRNA from 1 species
GCCCCGAUAGUGUAGACCGGCCAAUCAUUUCGCCCUCUCGAGGCGAAGACCUGGGUUCAAAUCCCAGUCGGGGCG